ACCCUUGUGGAGGAGGACGCCGAAGGUGGGGCUAAUGACUGGGGUGAAGUCGUAACAAGGUAGCCGUACCGGAAGGUGCGGCUGGAUCACCUCCUAACAGGGAGACAACAAAAUGUUUAAUAUUAUUAUUUUGUCACCUUAGGUCGAUCGGUAUCUCACGUUCUUAAUUAAUUAAGAAUUUCAUUUCCUAAGUUUUUCUAGGUCACACCCAUUAUUUUCCUGGGCCAUUAGCUCAGGUGGUUAGAGCGCACCCCUGAUAAGGGUGAGGUCCCUGGUUCAAGUCCAGGAUGGCCCAUAUCUCUAUGUUGGGGGUAUAGCUCAGUUGGUAGAGCGCCUGCUUUGCAAGCAGGAUGUCAGCGGUUCGAGUCCGCUUACCUCCACUGAUUACCACCUCUUCCAUAAUAUUUUGAAGGGAAAGUUUUGAGUUGUGAUCAAAUUCUGAACGAAUCUAGCUUCCUAGUGAAUUCAUUAAGAUGCUGGACUCAUUGAAUUAAUUUCAUUGUUUUCAGAGAACCUUGACAACUGCAUAGAUUAUUUUAAAGACAAUAAGCAUCUUUAAUGAUGCAGAUUUAUUAUUUGUGCUAUUGCAUUAAUAACAAUUCUAUUAAGCUGAUGCUUCAAUUUUGAAGUUAUUGGUCAAGCUACAAAGGGCUCACGGAGGAUACCUAGGCAC
rnacentral:misc_RNA from 1 species